GGGCGGAAGCCUGAUCCAGCAACGCCGCGUGAGGGAUGACGGCCUUCGGGUUGUAAACCUCUUUCAGUACCGACGAAGCGCCGAUGAUGGUGGUGACGGUAGGUACAGAAGAAGCACCGGCCAACUACGUGCCAGCAGCCGCGGUAAUACGUAGGGUGCGAGCGUUGUCCGGAAUUAUUGGGCGUAAAGGGCUCGUAGGCGGUUUGUCGCGUCGGGAGUGAAAACCCAGGGCUUAACUCUGGGCUUGCUUUCGAUACGGGCAGACUAGAGGUAUGCAGGGGAGAACGGAAUUCCUGGUGUAGCGGUGAAAUGCGCAGAUAUCAGGAGGAACACCGGUGGCGAAGGCGGUUCUCUGGGCAUUACCUGACGCUGAGGAGCGAAAGUGUGGGGAGCGAACAGGAUUAGAUACCCUGGUAGUCCACACCGUAAACGUUGGGCGCUAGGUGUGGGGCCUAUUCCAUGGGUUCCGUGCCGCAGCUAACGCAUUAAGCGCCCC
rnacentral:rRNA from 1 species